rnacentral:rRNA from 1 species
AGCUUGUUGGUGAGGUAAUGGCUCACCAAGGCGACGACGGGUAGCCGGCCUGAGAGGGUGACCGGCCACACUGGGACUGAGACACGGCCCAGACUCCUACGGGAGGCAGCAGUGGGGAAUAUUGCACAAUGGGCGAAAGCCUGAUGCAGCAACGCCGCGUGAGGGAUGACGGCCUUCGGGUUGUAAACCUCUUUUAGUAGGGAAGAAGCGAAAGUGACGGUACCUGCAGAAAAAGCACCGGCUAACUACGUGCCAGCAGCCGCGGUAAUACGUAGGGUGCAAGCGUUGUCCGGAAUUAUUGGGCGUAAAGAGCUCGUAGGCGGUUUGUCGCGUCUGCUGUGAAAUCCCGAGGCUCAACCUCGGGCUUGCAGUGGGUACGGGCAGACUAGAGUGCGGUAGGGGAGAUUGGAAUUCCUGGUGUAGCGGUGGAAUGCGCAGAUAUCAGGAGGAACACCGAUGGCGAAGGCAGAUCUCUGGGCCGUAACUGACGCUGAGGAGCGAAAGCAUGGGGAGCGAACAGGAUUAGAUACCCUGGUAGUCCAUGCCGUAAACGUUGGGCGCUAGAUGUAGGGACCUUUCCACGGUUUCUGUGUCGUAGCUAACGCAUUAAGCGCCCCGCCUGGGGAGUACGGCCGCAAGGCUAAAACUCAAAGGAAUUGACGGGGGCCCGCACAAGCGGCGGAGCAUGCGGAUUAAUUCGAUGCAACGCGAAGAACCUUACCAAGGCUUGACAUACACCGGAAACGGCCAGAGAUGGUCGCCCCCUUGUGGUCGGUGUACAGGUGGUGCAUGGUUGUCGUCAGCUCGUGUCGUGAGAUGUUGGGUUAAGUCCCGCAACGAGCGCAACCCUCGUUCUAUGUUGCCAGCGCGUUAUGGCGGGGACUCAUAGGAGACUGCCGGGGUCAACUCGGAGGAAGGUGGGGAUGACGUCAAAUCAUCAUGCCCCUUAUGUCUUGGGCUUCACGCAUGCUACAAUGGCCGGUACAAAGGGCUACGAUACCGUAAGGUGGAGCGAAUCCCAAAAAGCCGGUCUCAGUUCGGAUUGAGGUCUGCAACUCGACCUCAUGAAGUCGGAGUCGCUAGUAAUCGCAGAUCAGCAACGCUGCGGUGAAUACGUUCCCGGGCCUUGUACACACCGCCCGUCAAGUCAUGAAAGUCGGUAACACCCGAAGCCGGUGGCCUAACCCUUGUGGGAGGAGCCGUCGAAGGUGGGAUCGGUGAUUAGGACUAAGUCGUAACAAGGUA